ACACGACUACAUUAGAUACCCGGGUAGUCCUAGCCGUAAACGAUACUCGCUAGGUGUCGGCCACGGUGCGACCGUUGCCGGUGCCGUAGGGAAGCCGUGAAGCGAGCCACCUGGGAAGUACGGCCGCAAGGCUGAAACUUAAAGGAAUUGGCGGGGGAGCACCACAACGGGUGGAGCUUGCGGUUUAAUUGGAUUCAACGCCGGAAAUCUUACCGGGACCGACAGCAACAUGAAGGCCAGGCUGAAGACUUUGCCGGAUUAGCUG
rnacentral:rRNA from 1 species